rnacentral:rRNA from 1 species
GAUGAACGCUGGCGGCGUGCCUAAUACAUGCAAGUCGAGCGAACAGACGAGGAGCUUGCUCCUUCGACGUUAGCGGCGGACGGGUGAGUAACACGUAGGUAACCUACCUAUAAGACUGGGAUAACUUCGGGAAACCGGAGCUAAUACCGGAUAAUAUUUCGAACCGCAUGGUUCGAUAGUGAAAGAUGGCUUUGCUAUCACUUAUAGAUGGACCUGCGCCGUAUUAGCUAGUUGGUAAGGUAACGGCUUACCAAGGCAACGAUACGUAGCCGACCUGAGAGGGUGCCGGCCCACACGAGAACGGAGACAGGGCCCAGACUCCUACGGGGGGGGGAAGUGGGGAUCCUCCCGAAAAGGGGGAAGCCCUGACGGAGCAACGCCGGGGGAUGAAGGAGGUUCUGCGGAUCUAAAACCUUUUUAAUGGGGAAAAAACAAAGGGGAAGGUAACUGUGCGCGCCUGGAGGUUCCAUAAUAAAAAGGCCAGGGCUAACUCGGGC